CUCACUUGUAAAAACACUCUCAAUAUAUUUGCAUUUUAAACUUAAUGGAGCAACAAGAUAAUUCAAAUAUUAUGGAUAAGCAAGAGGCAAAGGUAUAUUGUUCAUUAAAUAUGCAAAGGUAAAUUCAUAUAUUCCUGAAUAUCAUAGAUAUGAUUGAAUAAGUUUAUGUUAGUUAUUAUGUAUUAGAAUUAUACGAAUCAUGCUUUCUAGUUUAUUAGCAAACAGGAAAAGCGAGAAACCUUCUAUAACUAUGCCAUCCUAAAGUUGAAACCGGAAAGGCAAGAGAAGCCGUGAUAGGGGAGUAAACACAGUUGAGGCACUGUUUAGGAAGAAAGUAUCUGCUAAAGUACGAUGCUAAUAGUGACAGGAGAACGUGAUAAACAAAUAAUCUAGUUCAUAAUGAUCUAAUAUAAUCCUGUUCAGUUAUGAAUAUGAUAGGAAGGAAUAAUUGAUAAAAAAUCUGCAAAUAACAAGAACAUGAAUACAUUUAUACAUGAUGAAAUGAUAAAAAGCUACCACACAUUAAUCUUAUAUGUACUCAAAAAUAUAAAAAUUAUCGAAUUAAGAGAAAUUAUAUGGAAAAAGAUAUUUAAUGAUGAAAUGGAAUUAGAAAACCAAGCAUGGUAUGAAAUAGAUUUGCAAGAUUUAUAUUUAGAUACUGAAAGAAUAGAAUUAUAUGAUUUAGAAAUGGAAUAUUCAGAUUAAAAUGAAUUACAAAUAUUUGUAAUAUUGGACAGAGACUAUAGAAGAUAUAAAACUAGUAGAACAAUUAAUGGAAAACAAUUUAUAUAUGUAUCUAAGAACCCAAGAUAUAUUAUACCUGGAAUAUAUCUCAAAUAAUGUUAAAGAAAUAUUCAGAUUAAAACAACUAUCAAAAGAAUAUUAUGAUAAGCUUUAUAAUCAAAGGUAAAAAUAAAAUUAAAAAAUCCUAACUUAAAUGAAUUCCGCAACACCCCAAAUAUAUUUGAUAGAUUGGAAAUAUUUGGAGACAUUGAAGAAAAGAAAAGCAUUGAGGAAUUAGCUUGUUUGACUUUGGCUCUUCGGUGGAGGUAGAUUAUGGUUUAUUCUAUGCGAUAGAUAGACUCUUAAUAGCAAUAUAUUCAUUGAGUGAUAUUGUAAAGUUUUCUAUGUACUUGGUUGUUAUGGUUUGAAUAAUAUAUGUGUCGUUGUGAUUGGUCAGUAAUCCCAAGGCCGCAAAAUCCACAAUCUUAAACUUGUUGUAUUAAAGUGAUGCCUCGAAUAAAGAAGAUUUAAUGAAAUAUUGUUAAGAAAGUCCAAAGAGAUGAUAAAAAAUGGCAAAUGAAUUAAUGAUAUAUUUGGAUCGGGUGUCACGUUCUGACACAAUAUUAUUGGAUUGGGUGUGACGUUCCGACACAGUAUUAUUGGAUCGGGUGUCAUGUUCCGACACAGUAUUAUUGGAUCGGGUGUCACGUUUUGAUACGGUAUUAUUGGAUCGGAUGUCACGUUCCGACACGGUAACAUUAAAGGAAAACAUAUAGAAACAACGUAUGUGCUCAAUCUCAAAGAACUCAAUUUCCAAAAUAGCCUUGUUUUGAGGCAUGAGUCCUCAUGUGUGAUCUUGAUAUUGUUGACUGAUUAUGUACUUACUUUAGUGUUGUUAUCAUUUGUUCAUGUUGGUUGUUGUUUGCCACAUGCUAAGUGCCAUAGUUGAAUUUAUAUUAUUACUCAUUGCAUAUUAGUUUCUAUUUUGAGUUGACCGAUAAUAUCUACUCAGUACAAGUUGCCCUGUACUGAUCCCUACUUGUGUUUCUUCAUUUUCUUUUGUGGAGUGCAACAAUUGUACCAUAGACUUCGACUCGCCCUCAGCUCUGGCCAAUCUCCAACACAUCAGAUUUCAGGGUGAGCUAUUCCUUCUAGCUCGUGAUGGAUUCUCUCAGUCGUGGCAUAAUGUCCUUAAAUUUUGGACAUACACUAUCCUACUUAUUUAUUUUGGCGUCUUUAAUACUUUUAGACUUGGUAUUUGAGAAUAUAUGACAUUGAUGUGAUGACUUUCAGGUUUUGGGAUGAUAUGUAAUAGACUCUAGAAGUUUCUUUUAUUGGUUACUUUAAUAAGCUUUGAGCUUCGGCAUUAUAGUUGAUUUCCGUAAGUUGAACAAUUGAUAUAAGUUGAGGUUGAAUUAGUUGGUUCUCUCACCUAGGAGGUUAAGUGUGGGUGCAACUCAUGACUCAUUUUAAAUCGUGACAAG
rnacentral:lncRNA from 1 species